UACGGAGGGUGCAAGCGUUAAUCGGAAUUACUGGGCGUAAAGCGUGCGUAGACGGUUAUGUAAGUCGGGUGUGAAAGCCCCGGGCUCAACCUGGGAAUUGCAUUCGAGACUGCAUAGCUAGGGUGCGGAAGAGGGAAGCGGAAUUUCCGGUGUAGCGGUGAAAUGCGUAGAUAUCGGAAGGAACACCAGUGGCGAAAGCGGCUUCCUGGUCCAGCACCGACGUUCAGGCACGAAAGCGUGGGGAGCAAACAGG
rnacentral:rRNA from 1 species